rnacentral:rRNA from 1 species
CGUGAUUGUUGCUGGUCCUCUCGGGGGCAUGUGCACAUCCGUCAUCUUUAUCUUUCCACCUGUGCACAUUUUGUAGAUCUGAAAUUUUUUUCCAGGGCACCCCUUUAUGAGGGACUGCUGUGCAUCACUGCCAGCUUCCCUUGGAUUUUCAGGUCUAUGUUUUCACAUACACCAUAAGAAUGUAAUAGAAUGUUAUAUUGGGCCUUGUGCCUAUAAACUAUAUACAACUUUCAGCAACGGAUCUCUUGGCUCUCGCAUCGAUGAAGAACGCAGCGAAAUGCGAUAAGUAAUGUGAAUUGCAGAAUUCAGUGAAUCAUCGAAUCUUUGAACGCACCUUGCGCUCCUUGGUAUUCCGAGGAGCAUGCCUGUUUGAGUGUCAUUAAAUUCUCAACCUUAUCAGCUUUUGUUGAUAAUGGCUUGGAUGUGGGGGUUACUUUGCUGGUUUCUUUAAUGAGAUCAGCUCCCCUUAAAUGUAUUAGCUGGUUGCCUUGUGCAGACUUGUCUAUUGGUGUGAUAAUUAUCUACGCCGUGGACUUCUGCCAGUAUUUAGCACCGCUUCUAACUGUCUGUUUACUCAGACAAUUAUAUGACAAUUGACCUCAAAUCAGG